CUGCAUGGCUGUCGUCAGCUCGUGUCGUGAGAUGUUGGGUUAAGUCCCGCAACGAGCGCAACCCUUUUCCUUAUUUGCCAGCGGGUUAAGCCGGGAACUUUAAGGAUACUGCCAGUGACAAACUGGAGGAAGGCGGGGACGACGUCAAGUCAUCAUGGCCCUUACGACCAGGGCUACACACGUGCUACAAUGGUAGGUACAGAGGGUUGCUACACAGCGGUGUGAUGCUAAUCUCAAAAAGCCUAUCGUAGCCCGGAUUGGAGUCUGCAACUCGACUCCAUGAAGUCGGAGUCGCUAGUAAUCGCAGAUCAGAAUGCUGCGGUGAAUACGUU
rnacentral:rRNA from 1 species